AAAUGUGUGAAAAAUCAUUAGCAUUUUCUUCUAUGUGCUCUCAAUUCGGCAUUUUUUUCUAUUUCAUAUUGAAAUUACUCCAUCUCGAUAUUUGUGUUGAAAUUUAUUUUGAUUUUUAUGUUCUAUAAAAUUUGCAUCUUCUCGACACGUUGUUGCCACUUUGGCUGUUUUGAAAAUAUUGCUCAAUUUUACGAUCAGAAGCGUCUACAGGUGAUGUUUUUUAUUGCAAAAUGCAAUUUUUAAAAUGAAAAAGAUUAAAAAUUCUAAAAAAAUAUUUAGGAAUAUAUUAUAUACAUGUCCAACUGUAUAUCUGUUCCUUCAGGUGGAUUCGUAUUAUUAUUGGGCGGAACUAAACUUGUAUUAUCAUUAUUAUUUUGCAUAGCCGGAGUUGCCUGUGUCGCUGCCAUUACUAAACGACUUCCUCUAG